rnacentral:lncRNA from 1 species
CAUUCUGCGUUGGUGUUCUUCCUGAACCAAGUAUUGUCUAGGAAUAUAUAUAUAUAUGCAAUACAGCCUGUGAUAAGAGCUUGACCAGUGCCGACUCAAAUCAGGGAGGAGAGCCGUUGUCUCUCUCGGGCUGACAGUGCUGGAAAGACUGCACAACUGUGUGAAUUAAUUAAGACUGAAUCGAAAGACUGGUGAGUAUUUUGCCUGCACAUGUAGCCUAAGCUUUCUAGUCAUUUGAUGGUGAUGCUUGCUUACCCCUCUACACCGAUUCUACUUUAAUUUUGUGAUUUGCAGGGGUGCUCGCAAAAUAUGCACAUUUUCUGCCAAGGCAUUGGAGUGUAGACUAUAGAAACCACUGCACCUGCAUGUACCGUAUUUCGCUUUCAACCGGGAAAGGUUUAUUGGAAAGGUCCGGACUGGUCUGGGCGCAUUCUCUGAAAUAUAACGGAGAUGCCACGGUUACGCGUAGAAGCCACUCGACGAAGAGACAGGUGCGAUGGAGAGGCUUGAUGGAGGGGCUUGAUGUUAGGCUAGCUGCGGGGAUAGCGGUUCUCAACAAGUGGUGAGGAGGUAUCCUGUGUUUGUGGGUAGAGCUCAUCGUUCCUCACAGAGACAGGAGCUGCACAUUCACACAGUGCUCCAGGUGAACCGCACACUCUACAUAGGAGCCAGGUAACCAACAACAUCAACAUUCACCUCUCAGCCAUAGUCCUUACCACACCCCUAACAAUCCUCACUUCUAUCUUUCAGCAGUUAUGUCGACUGGUUUCUGAUAAGGUCACUGUUAAACCAUUUUGAUCCACUCUGCUCUCCCCCUGUUUCUCUCCCCUCCUGAUGUAUAUUCCAGAGAUGAUCUAUAUAGAGUGGAGCUGGACAAUAUGUCAGGGGACGAAAUAUUCUACAGCAAGGUGCGACACACACACACACACACACACACACGCUAAC